CGAUUUUAGGCGAGCGAAAAGAGAGCAAUUUUGGUCGUCACCAAAAAAGUGGCUGCAUAGUGCAAAACCAAUGUAUGGCCGUUACGCAUCUUGUUAUUAUAAUGUCUUUGGUAUGACCAAUUAAUAGAAAGGCGCCACUGUGCGCCGUCUCUCUUUGCAGCAGAACAAUGCAUACUUCACCGUCGAAUCUGACGCCCGAUUGCGCGAAACAAUCCACCCGGGCAAUGACCUUAAACCUCCCCAAAAGUAAACGAUCGCGGUCUUGCUCACCAAUGCUUCCGACUGCAUUAGGUGAACCCGAACGCACUGAGAAGGUCUCUCUCCCGUUUUCCCAAUCGCAAACGGCAGUAAGCUCUGUAGCUACCAGUACGGUAAAUUCAAUAUCUACAGCAACUGCACCCAUAUCAACAGCGAUAACAACAUCAACUCUAUGCUCAUCAACGACAGAGGUCUACAGUUCUGCUAAACAAGCGGCAACAACAAAGAAUGCACUCACCGCGACAUUGGAAAGCCAAAACGGAGAAGAAUCGAUUUGCAGAAAAACUUUUUGCCACGGCCACAAACGGCACAAAGCUGCCACGCCCGUACUUGUGAAAAAUGGUUUAAUAUUAUUUUAUUAGUCUUGUAAAUUUCUAUCGAUUUGACAAAAAACUUGUUGACGGGAGGAUCUCAACUACAGAGUUUUCUCUUGUUUAAAACAAUCUUCAUGAAAAUACGGACCGGACUAAUAUAACAUAAAUAAAGCUGCCAUAUAUUGGGAAAACGUG